AGUUACCAGUUCGUGAUCUUCAUAUUGGUAUAUGGCUUCUGAUCUCUAUCUGUUAUAUAUGUUUAUGUUGUUUGAUUGUAAUCAUCAAGGUGUUCCUAAGAUUUUUGAGUUCUGGUAGUCUUGUUUAAUGUUAAACUUUAUUUUUAAUAGUUGAAUGCAUAUAAAAAUUUUGAAAAUUUAUAUUUCAUUGAGUCACUGAAACCCA
rnacentral:lncRNA from 1 species